UAAAGCAAAAGUUGGAUUUAUCAUUUGUUAUGAUUUGAUCAGCAUAGAUUUGUUGCCCAUAAUGUAAUUAAUUACUUUUUAUUAAUAAAGUAUUAGUUUAAUUAUCUUAUUUCUCCUCCAAUAUCUCUUAUUCUUUAUAUUAUUUUAUUUUAUUUUAGAUCUUGCGUUAUAAUCGGUAUCAGUAUAAAUACCAGUUUCAAU
rnacentral:lncRNA from 1 species